AUUGAAAUGAAAUUAAUUUAUUUAUUUACAUUAUGGCAAUAUAAAAGGGGUUAAUAAUAUUCGAUUUUUAUUAUAGUUAUUUUCGUUUUACUCUAUACAGACAAUUCAGUAGUCUAUACCAAAUAAAUCAAAAUGAAAUUCUUUAACGUUCUUCUUUUCGUAUGUUUCGUAAUAAGCAUGCUUUCGUUUUCAAAUGGAUUGGCCGAUGGUGACCAAACAAAUGAUUCCAAACCGUUGGGGCCACAAUGUAAUUGUAAUAAUGGCAGCAGAGCUGAUUCAGUGCCAUUGAAAUCUGUCAACCUUGAAUCAGUUCCACUUUAAGUAAUUUCAAAUAUUAAAAGAAGCAUAAAUAAAAUAA